GUUUUUUUUGUUAGUUUGUGUGGUAGUGGAAGACUGGCAUGACAAGUUGCCAAAAGCUGGAUCAAACAGCAGAGCACUUAACCAUUGCCUUUCCUCCUCUUCAUCUGCUGUUGUAGUGUCUGCACAUCAAUCAAUAGCUUUCCAGGCCUUCCAGGCCUGGGGUGUGGAAAUGUGUUGCAAUAUGACCAGCCAUGAAGCAGCCUCCAGAGCAACCUCAGUCUAUUACCUCUCAUCUCUCAAGUCAGGCAGGAAGUGGAGUUGCCCACAACUUCUUCCUGGUUCCUCCCCAAAAGCAAAAUUUAAGCAGUGGCUCUUUUCAUCUUGGUAGAGACAUGUUUUAGUUGUUUCAUGAUCGUUCGAACUUCAGACCUAAUUUCAGAAAGAGCAGAGGCCACUUUAGACAUAAUAAAAAUGCCAUGCUGUAGCUAGAUUGAUCUUCCCUCACAAGAGCGCUGUAUAUAGUGACAGUGGGACAUUUUCAUGAUGUUUGAAGCUGCCACAGCUGUAUCCACAAAG